rnacentral:rRNA from 1 species
AGUGAACGCUGGCGGUAGGCCUAACACAUGCAAGUCGAACGGCAGCACAGUAAGAGCUUGCUCUUACGGGUGGCGAGUGGCGGACGGGUGAGGAAUACAUCGGAAUCUACUUUUUCGUGGGGGAUAACGUAGGGAAACUUACGCUAAUACCGCAUACGACCUACGGGUGAAAGUAGGGGAUCUUCGGACCUUGCGCGAUUGAAUGAGCCGAUGUCGGAUUAGCUAGUUGGCGGGGUAAAGGCCCACCAAGGCGACGAUCCGUAGCUGGUCUGAGAGGAUGAUCGGCCACACUGGAACUGAGACACGGUCCAGACUCCUACGGGAGGCAGCAGUGGGGAAUAUUGGACAAUGGGCGCAAGCCUGAUCCAGCCAUACCGCGUGGGUGAAGAAGGCCUUCGGGUUGUAAAGCCCUUUUGUUGGGAAAGAAAAGCAGCAGGUUAAUACCCCGCUGUUCUGACGGUACCCAAAGAAUAAGCACCGGCUAACUUCGUG